rnacentral:rRNA from 1 species
GCAGAGGACUCCUACGGGGGCAGCAGUGGGGAAUAUUGCACAAUGGGCGCAAGCCUGAUGCAGCCAUGCCGUCGUGUAUGAAGAAGGCCUUCGGGUUGUAAAGUACUUUCAGCAGUGAGGAAGGUGGGUAUGUUAAUAGCAUAUUCAUUUGACGUUAGCUGCAGAAGAAGCACCGGCUAACUCCGUGCCAGCAGCCGCGGUAAUACGGAGGGUGCGAGCGUUAAUCGGAAUUACUGGGCGUAAAGCGCAUGCAGGUGGUUUGUUAAGUCAGAUGUGAAAGCCCGGGGCUCAACCUCGGAAUUGCAUUUGAAACUGGCAAACUAGAGUACUGUAGAGGGGGUAGAAUUUCAGGUGUAGCGGUGAAAUGCGUAGAGAUCUGAAGGAAUACCGGUGGCGAAGGCGGCCCCCUGGACAGAUACUGACACUCAGAUGCGAAAGCGUGGGGAGCAAACAGGAUUAGAUACCCUGGUAG